AAAGACUUUUAAAAAAUAUAUAUUUACUUAUUUUGGCUGCUCCGGGGGUCUUAGUUGCAACAUGCAGGAUCUUCGUUGGGGUGUGUGGGAUCUUUUUAGUUGCUGCAUGCGGGCUUCUUAGUUGCGGCAUGCAAACUCUUAGUCGUGGCAGGCAUGCGGGAUCUAGUUGCCUGAUCAGGGAUCGAACCUGGGCCCCCUGCACUGGGAGCUUGGAGUCUUACCCACUGGACCACCAGGGACGUCCCAAGAAAGACUUAUAGUAGUGUCUUUAAUGAAUUGUACUCCUGAGAAUAUGGACAGUAUCAUUGUAAUCUUAUCCUACAGUCUUUUUAAUUGUGGAAAAUUUCAAAUAUUAAAAAGUAAAGAGAAUGGUAUAAUUUUUUUCAUCAUCUGGCUUCAAAUAAUGGUCAACUCUUGACCAAUCUUGUUUUAUCUGUACCCCUACCAAUCACACUGGAUUAUUUUGAGGCAAAUCUCAGAUGCCAUAUUACUUCAUAGGUGUUUAUGUAGCUCUAAGACAUUUAAAAAAUUUAACCACUGCUAUUAUUGCACCUAAAGAAAUGAAUAACUCCUUAGUAUCAUCAAAUAUUCAGUCAAUGUUUAAAUUAUCUCAUAAAUGUGUGUUUUACACUUUGUUCCAAAUCAAGAUCUGGAUGCAAUCUAUGCAUUGUUGUUGGUUGAUGUGUCUCUUAAGUUUCUGAUAACCCAUAGGUCUCUCUUUCCUUCUUCCUAUGUACUGUUGCACUUUCACUCCCUUGCAGUUUAUUACUUGAAGAAAUCAGAUCAUUUUUUUCCUAAAGAGUUCCCAGUCUGGAUUUUGCUAACUGCAUCCUUGUGAUUACAUGUUCCUCUAUUCCUAUAAUAUAAUGAUUAGACAGAGCUGUACUGUCUAAUAUGGUAGCCAUGUAUGGUUACUGGGGACUUGAAAUUGAGUUUGAACUGAAAUUGAGUUUGAUUUGCCAUGUACAAUUACACAUGUGGUUCACAUGUUUCUAUUGGACCACUCUGAUCUAAAGGUUUGAUGACAUUAAGAUCGGGAUUUUCUGGCAAGAGUAUUUCAUAGACCUGGUGUGUACUCCGUUUAGGAGGACUAAUUGGUUGUCUUAGUUUGUGAUCUUAGCAGCCAUUGACAUUCAAGACCUAGACACACUCAUUUGGAUUUGCAAAAUAGUGAUCGUUUAAUUAUGCCCUUAUUUCUUUAAUUAUCAGCUGGAAUAUACUAAAAGGAGAAACAUCCCCUCAUCAACUAUUUGGUUACCCUGGGGUACAAUUUGUAUAGAAAAGGCAAAAAAAUAAACACAUGAUUUUAUUUACUAGUUUUCAAAAUAAUGAGGUAGUUCCAUAGCAUCCUCCAAAAGUUACCAGUGAAUUUUUUUUAAGUAUCAUUAUGAACUCAGAUCUAAAUGUAUUUGUCUUUUAGUCCAUUGUUUUUAUCUUUUUUUAUUGAUUGCCUCACCUUUGGCCAGUGGGAGCCUCUUUUAACUCCACUCCUGAGUUCCCACUUAAUCCCAGUAUUCUGUUCCAAGUUUAUCUUGCACAUUUCCUAUCCCUGACCUAUACCUAUAUUCUCUAUGUAUUGAACAUAAAUUAAUGAAAAUAGAGAAUUAAACUCUUUCAAAGACUAACUAGAAAUGUGUUGAUUCAUCAUGUCGUAUAUGCAAGAAAUUUGUUUAUCUUGACAAAUUUCCAGGAGACCCUGGAUAUGUGAGAAACUCUAACAAAAGCGUUUAUUUUUAAGAAAUUAGGUAAAUACAGGGAAGAUUGGAAAAUGAAAGAGAUUAGUUGUAUGUUAAAUACUAAGAGUGUUCAACGGGAGUGCCUGAGUUUAUGAUGUCAAAGAAUUUGCUACAGCCACCCAACUUAAUCACUUUAAAACCAUUCAUGUUCCUAUGUCCACGUGACUUUCGUGCAAGGAUGUAUCAAGAAGCUUAGCUGAGAUUAUACCAUCUGUUGUAGCAAUUCACUUCUACAAGUUUUGUCUACAAAGAAGCUAUCCUGGGAAUUACAAGGCUAGUACCUCCAGUGCAGUGUUGAACAGAAGAGAUGAUGGGGACAUCUUUGUCUCAUUUCCAAUCUUAGGGGCAGCACGGGCCUUUCCCUUCCUGGCUCUGUGGGGCUCAGCGAAGUCACCACAUAGGAGAGCAGUGAGCCAUUUGAGACCUGAGCCUGGUCCUCAGGAAUUCGCUCUCUCCUUGCCAGCAGGAGGCCUGCCCCAGCCCUGCUCAGCCAUCUCCACCAUCUUCCUCUGACAGAAUGAAUGCCCUGGAUGGUGUCCCCUUCAAGGUGCCCAAGGGCUUUGUGAUAGGCACAGAGCCCCUCCCUGGGCCAGAGCUCAGUGUCCCAGACUGCAGGGAGCUUCUGCUGGGUUCUAUGUAUGACUUCAGCCUGGAGAGGAGGGCACUCUUCUGGGUGGAGGCUGUAGUCCGGGGACCCUGCCAGGUCCAGUGCGAUGCCCCGGGGGCAGCUUCAGCCCCUCCCGCCUGGCUCUUGCUGGUCAGCCCUGAGCAAGGGCUGGAGCCCAUGCCUGCCGCAGCGGAAGGUCCUGAGGCUAGACUGCAGGAGCAUCCUGAGGAGGAAGAGGUGGAGGAGAAGGACCAGGAUGAGGAAGAAGCCUUCUCUGCCAUGGAGGAAGAGCCGGAUCCCUGCAGCCCCCAGCCCAGCUCCUCAGCGAGCCCCAGCCUGAACCAACACCGGUGCUCGCUGGACGUGCUGCGCGACGUGAGGUCGGAGCUGGCCGGGGCGCGGCGGCGGCUCUCUGAGUGCAGGCUGGCCGCCCGCCCCCGCAGUCUCCUGCACCGCAUCCGCCACCGAGCUCUGAGCCUCUGCCCUGGCCCCACGUCACCCCUGGGCCCGGCACUCCCGCUCCCCAGCGCCCCAGUGCCACCCCCGGGCCCCGAGCCAUCGCUCCCCAGCACCCCUGCGCUGCCCCCGCGGCCCUCCACGGCUGGCGAUGUGCCCCCGCUGCGGAGCCACAGGCCCGUGGUUGCGUCCCUCAGCCCGCAUACCUGCCUGCCACCUCCUGGGCAGGUGCCCCAGCCUCUCGCCACCCACAGAUUGCACCCUGAUUCUGCUGAUUUGCUGUCCGCCCUGAGCCAGGAGGAGCAAGACCUCAUCGGGCCAGUGGUCGCCCUGGGGUAUCCCUUGCACAGGGCUAUCAUGGCUCUACAGAAGACUGGGCGGCAGAGCCUGAGCCAGGUUCACAGCCCUUCUCCCUUUGAAAGACAAACACUACAGUAAAUCGUUUUGAAAAGAGAUGAACGACGGAUGGUCCAGGAGGGGGGGCAUCAGGUGAUAGAGACAGGGCACUUGGAAGAAAGAAGGAGAGAGGAAGAGAUACAAAAGAUAAGCUUUGUCCAUCACCCCUUCCCUCCUUCCACAAGGAUCGAUGUGCCUACUGACUGCCUGCAGGACAGGUGUGGGUGGCAUGUGUGAGGGUCCAUAGGCCGGGCCCAGACUUGCCAUGGGACUCUAGGCACAUCAGGUCCCCUCUUUGAGCCUCACUUUCCCCAUUCACAGAAUGGAGGGGAAUAUGUGUUUAUAAUCAAUAACUGCUGGAGGGCCCAUCCUGGAGUCUGAUGGUGACAUCCUCACCUACUGUGGGGCCUGAGAUAGGCCUGGUAACUGACCAAGAUAGAGAAUCCUUACAAAUGCAGAUUCUCAGGACCUACUUUGCAGAGUCCCAAUCAGUGGAUCUGGAGUGGGCCCAGGGCCCUAUCAUUUUAAAAGAUCUGCAGAUGGUUCUGAUAUGCAUGGUUCUGAUACGCAGCCUGGCUUGGGUCUACUAGUGUGGACUGAGUCAGAGAUUCUCAACCUUGGCUGCACACAGGAAUCACCUGGAGAGCUGUAAAAGUCCCAGUGCCCAGGCUGCCCCCCUGACCAGUCAUAUCAGGGCCUCUGGAGGUGAGCAUCAGCAGUUUAUGGGUAGUGAUACUGAGGCACCAGUAGUUUUAAGGCUCCCAGGUAGCUACAGUCAGCACCAAGGCUGAGAACCUUUGCUGUCGAUGAACCAAGAGGUGAAGGGAGCAUCCCCCAUCUACCCUGCCCCUGUUUUCACCUUCGGAAACGCUGUCUACUUUCAAGCCAGCUCAAAGCCCCUCCUCUAGCAGCUAGCCUCCCGAUGGACAAGGCACUGGCCAAGAGGUCAGGUGAUCUGAGCCCUAGUCCUGGGACCUGGGGCGAGCUGCCCGACCUGCCUAGACUUCAGUUUUCCCAACUGUGCAAGGAGAACUUGGUUGGGUGGUUUUCAAAAUGUGCCCAGAGCAGGGUCCCUGAGGUGGGGGCACUGGACUCUGGGCUUCCUCCACCUCCUGCCCACAGUUCUCCCAGAGCAGCUUCAACCUUACCCUGUUACUGUUGAAGCCCCCUGGUGCUUGGACAGUUCAGAAGCUAAAACAGUUUGAAAACCAUUAGUCUAUUAUGAUCUGUGUUUUCUGCCCAGUUCUGAAGGUCUGCAGAAACCUGACCUGUUUCUCCUCCACUUAUACCCAUAAUUCUAAAUCCUGCUUUGAUCUGCCCAGCACUCAUGUUUUCCUGUAUCUGGUUUAUCGCCCCCACUGAGCUGUAAGCUCCCGGAAGGUAGUUCUUAAUUCAUUUUAUAAACACAGCAUACAUUUAUUGAGCUCCUUCUGCCUGCCUGCCAUGCUGGGUUCUAGGAACACAGUGGUGAACAAGACUGACACAAGUCUUCCCUCAUGGAACAAAAAGCAGAUGAGAAAGACAGUAGAGCAAUUACAAAGCUGUAUGUGAGGGGAAGCAUGGGGUGCUGUGGGAGCACCUGGUGGAGAUGGGGGGUGGUGAGAGGCUCCCCAGGGAAGAGGAGUGAGGCUGGCCUUGGCCUUGGAACUGGAUGUGCUGGAGUCUGGGGGUGCUGAGGGAGCAGCUGGGCUGCUGACAGAGGUAAGCUGGCCACUGAACCUGGGUUGGGAGGCAGCACUUUAUCCUGAGGGCAAAAGUAGCCCCUGAUGGCUAGGCAGGGAGUGGCUGGAAGAGAUGUUCCACCCUGUGGGUCCUCCACUGUCCCCUCCCCUUUCCAGCGCUGGUGCAGGACUGUUGCAGAGAGUGGGGCCCACGGGGUCCUGGAUGGCAAAGAUGUUAUGUGUCUGGCGGUGGGUGGGGUGCACAGCUGUGGGUGGGAGAGGAGGUUGUCUUCUCGCAGGUGGGUGCGCACCAGGGAGGGUAAGCAUCCUGAGUGGGUGGUGGGUAGAUACCCGUGUUUGAGCCCUGGCCUAUUCCCCACUUAGGUUCUGGGAACACCUUAGCCCAUCCUGACAGCCUUCUUCCUGGAUUCCAGCCCCCAGCUUGGGACAGUUGGUGAGGCUUUGCUGUUCACCUGUCCCCAGGGGAGGCCUCUGACCCUCUUCUGUUGGUUCAUGGGUCUGUGGGGCCACGUUGUGUGUGGCAGGUUGCCCAGUCAGCCUGGCCCUGAGCUCAGCCUUAACGAGGCCCUUGGGUGCCUCCUCCACCCCAUCUGCUGCCCCUGCCACCCCUCUUAACCUCCUUCCCUCUGUGCCCCUUUCCUGCCCAGUUUCUCAGCUACCUUAGCGCCUGUGACCGGCUAUUGCGACAGGGCUACGAGGAAGGCCUGGUGGAUGAGGCCAUGGAGAUGUUCCAGUUCUCCGAGAGCCAGGCAGGGGAGUUCCUGCGCCUCUCAGAGCAGUUCAGAGACAUGGGCUUC